UACGGAGGGGGCAAGCGUUAUCCGGAAUUACUGGGUGUAAAGGGAGCGUAGACGGCACUGCAAGUCUGGAGUGAAAGCCCGAGGCCCAACCACGGGACUGCUCUGGAAACUGCGGGGCUGGAGUGCAGGAGGGGUAAGCGGAAUUCCUAGUGUAGCGGUGAAAUGCGUAGAUAUAAGGAAGAACACCAGUGGCGAAGGCGGAUUACUGGACGAUAACUGACGGUGAGGCGCGAAAGCGUGGGGAGCAAACAGG
rnacentral:rRNA from 1 species